GUCAAUUCGAAACCAAGCGAGGGAAAACAAACUGAACCCCUGCAGCCGUCACCUUGACGUCAUGCCUGUAUGUGUGCUGUCGGAGGGGGCGGGGCCAGGUGCCCAGGUACCAACACACCUGACCAGGAUUCCCAUCUCGCUCAUCAGCACCAGCACCGACUACACCAACAAAAUGGUCAAGGGGAAAGUGGUUCGUAAAGGCCCACUGGUAUCGUUAGCAGCUGACAACUUCAUCCUGAAGACUGUCAUCCAAGAAGAAGAUUCCCAGCCGGACGCUUCGUCUCAGGACCCGUCCAUUAACGUCGUCCUGUUCGGAGCGCUGGCCAAGGACUUUAAUCAAGCUGUCAAUCAAGGGGAUGUGGUGGUGGCCUCUGGCUUCACUGUGGGCAAAUCUCCCACAGUUCAUAAGGACAAGCUGCACCCCUGUAACCUGCUGCUGUCAGGAGAUGACGCCUGCGUUUAUGUGUCUCGCCUGCCGCCUCCUCCUGACCCCAGAUCUGCACCGGCCAUCAAGAGGAGUCCCGCGCUCUCCGCUGAGGUUUCCAGGACAACCAAGGCUCCAAAAUACACAUAUGUCCCACUGGGUGACCUGAAGGCUGGAUCUGUAGUCAACGUGUACGGAGUGGUGAUCUUCUUCAAACAGCCGUUUAAGAGCCGCGGUACAGAUUUCUGCUCCAGCCUGAAGAUUACCGAUCAGUCCAACCAGAAGAUUGGCUGCACCAUCUUCUGUGAGAAGCUGGAGGACCAUCCCAAAAUCUUUCAAAUCGGAGACAUCGUCCGCAUGCACAGAGUCAAGACUCAGUUCUUCAAUGACUCCAUCGUGCUGGUCAACACCUUCGGUUUCUCUGUGGUGGCGUUUGACGGGGUGCUGGGCGGAGCCGUGGAGCCGCGGACCUCCAGCCGCUCCUUCCACUUCGACCAGGAGGACCGUCGGACUGUGGAGGAGCUGCGAUCCUGGGCCGCCAGCCAGGCUCUCCUCCCCCCGGUUCCCACAAUUCCUCUGUCUGCCGCUCAGCCCAAAGCUUACUUCGACCUGACCUGCCAGCUGCUGGCCAAAGCUCCCAUCGACACCACCUGCACCCUGCUGAGGGUGUGGGACGGGACCAGGUGCCCUCACACUCUGCUGAAGGUGUUAGUUGAGCCGAACGUCACAGAGGGACCGUCCUCCUUCUCUACAGAGAGAGAGAACCUCAUCGCUAACAUCCUCGUCUACGACAACCACGUGGAGUUCGCCAGGCAGCUGAAGCCCGGGGAUUUCCUCAGGAUCUACAACCUACGAGCGAUCCCAGGAUCCAGUAAGGUGCCCGGCCUCACCAGCAGCCAGUCAGAGGAGGUGGAUCACCUGGCUUUUCACCUGCAUGGAGGGACGGCGUACGGGAGGGGGAUCCGGAUUCUUCCAGAAAACAGCACCGUCGUGCAGGAGCUGAAGAGAGUCAUGGAGGCCUUCCCAGAGGAUGACGAGGACAACCUCUCUGAGCUGAAUGACUCAGCAUUGUUGGAGGUCUGGAGCACUCCACCAGAGUCUCUGGAUGCUGAAACAGUGGAGUGCAGCACAGAGAGAAUCUGCGGUCACGACAUGCAGCCGGUGACGCUGUCCGAGCUGAAGCGGUCCGGUCCGGGUCGAGCUCACCACGUCAGAGUCCAGCUGAGAUCCUACGAGCCCUGCAGACUUUACCAGGCUCUGAAACUCUACUGCAGCAAGUGUACAUCAAUGCAGGAUGUCCCAGAUGAUGAACUGGUGGCAGGUCUCUUCUCUGAGGCGUCCAGGGACUCUAGAUCCUACAGUCCCCCAUCGUGGGCUCUGUCUGGGAGGGUCGAUGUCCCUGGAGAUUCUCCAGGAUCCCCGAAGCGAGCUCUGAGUGUUCACCUGUCCACCCAGCUCAUGUCUGAAGGCAAAACCAAAGAGCUCAUCUUCCUCAUGGGUUCGACUCUGGAGGAAACUUGUCGGCUAACGACCGGCUACCAGAACAUCGUCCCUGUGAGGUCAUCAGGAGGUCACGUGGCUCUGCUCGACCUGUCUGCACCCUUCCUGUUCAGAGGCAGGAAGAGAUACUACGGGUGCAGGCGGUGCUCUGAGGCUGCUGUGAGGGAACCGUGUGCUGAAGGAGUCGAGCUGAUCGAUGAGAAGAUCAUUGCAGAAGCUCUCGGCGUUCAGCUGCUGCAGUUCGUCCUGCUGAUGAAGCUCGAGCUGCAGGACGCCACCGACACGCUGGACGUCUUCCUGUGGAGAGACGCCGAGUCGUUCUUCAGCGUGUCGGCAGAGGACGUAGCAGCCAAUCAGGAGGCUCAGAACAGCAUCUGUCAAACGAUGGACUCCCUCUGUCCACCGGGGGGCAGCACUGGUCAGCGUCCCUGGCUCGAUUUGUGUCUGACGGCCUACCCAGUAGAGGACGACGGGGGACAGAACCAAACCUGCUAUCAGAUCUGCCACACCGCCAUCACCAAACCCCCCUCCACACGGUCCGACCCCGAUCCUGCCUGAAGCACCUGCAGGUCAAAGGUCACCAUUACACCAGAGUCCAGCAGGGGAAAAAAAGAGGACAGAUAUUGGACCCAGACGUCCCUGGGGAAGAGCAACCUCUGCAGAGCGACGUGGUCAAUAAAGUUCAAAUCAUGAGCGGCAUAUGCUGACCUAACCAGACGGAGCUCAGCGUCUCCACCGGCCGCAUUUCUCCGCGCUCUAGCCCGGCCACCGAGCGCCGCGGAGCGGCUGUGCGAAUAGAAACUUCGUGGGACGGAGGUGGACGUGCCCCGGCUGUGAUUCAACACUCUACCC